GUUCUCAUAGUUGAAGAUACAACAGUGGUUUUUCAGUCCGCCGGUUUUGGUUAAAUUCCAGAUGAGAAUU
rnacentral:tRNA from 1 species